AACUAGUUUUAUGAGCAGUCUUACAGAAAAAUGGUAAUCAUGUCAUUACAACAGAACUUAUUUCGAGAAAAAAACUAAAUCAAACUAUAGAAUUGAUUCGAUCAGAGUAGGAUAUAGUAAAAAGACAAAUACUGGACAUUCCAACCAACAAUUACACCCUUAUUUACAAUUUCCCACGAAUUUCAUAUGAUAUAUGUUAUGAACGGAUUACUUGUUUCAUCGGAUUCGUAUAUGUAAGUUACGAACCCUCUUCUUGCGCCCUUCGUCAGGUCUCACCAGCGCUCGGCUCUCGUGUUUUCGGGCCCCGUCAGCAGGCGACUCGGGGCCUGUCUAGUAACAUGUUUGUGUAUGUGUGCAUUCGGAACAAGUGCCGUUGGUCGCACUCAGGGUGGGGUAGAGGGGUCAACGGGGGAAGCGUAUAUAAAAGCAGCGGGACGGGAGAAGAGGAGCCAGUCUCGAACGGACACAUAACGGAACCGCUAGCAGAUCACGAACUGAAUCUUAAAAUAAAGCUAAUCGUAAACUCGAACCCUCUUAACUAUCUUGACUAUUAUUUGGAGAACCACAGCAUGUUGGUUGUCAUAUCAAGAAUUUUGCCGUGGAACUUCAGGCGGGAGUGGAGGCCGAGCUGGACAUUGAGCUCUUCCGUGAGGCACUGAACCGUGCCGGCGGCGCCAACUACGGAACGGGCAUCCGGGAUAACUAAGCGGCCUCCAAGUUACUUUAUAUAUACAUUUUUUUUUGCAACUCUUAACUGCUUACCCAACUGCUCCUUUCUCUUUAAUUAUUAUUAAUUAAUUUUAUGAAAUUUAAAAACUGUACAUUUUAUGAAAUAUUAUACAAGCAAUUGGACAAUUA